GUGGGGAAUAUUGGACAAUGGGCGCAAGCCUGAUCCAGCCAUGCCGCGUGAGUGAUGAAGGCCCUAGGGUUGUAAAGCUCUUUCACCGGUGAAGAUAAUGACGGUAACCGGAGAAGAAGCCCCGGCUAACUUCGUGCCAGCAGCCGCGGUAAUACGAAGGGGGCUAGCGUUGUUCGGAAUUACUGGGCGUAAAGCGCACGUAGGCGGGUAUUUAAGUCAGUGGUGAAAUCCCAGAGCUCAACUCUGGAACUGCCUUUGAUACUGGGUACCUAGAGUAUGGAAGAGGUAAGUGGAAUUCCGAGGGUAGAGGUGAAAUUCGUAGAUAUUCGGAGGAACACCAGUGGCGAAGGCGGCUUACUGGUCCAUUACUGACGCUGAGGUGCGAAAGCGUGGGGAGCAAACAGGAUUAGAUACCCGAGUAGUCC
rnacentral:rRNA from 1 species